UGAGCGCUCUCAGCCUCUCUCCUCCCAGGGCUCCCGCGUCUGCCUCCCUCCACGCCUCUGCCUUUUCUCCCUCCCUUCAACCCCUCCUCCGGCUGACCCACGUGGGACGUUUCGGUGACAGGAGGCGGAGGAGGCCCUGGCGCAUCUGCCACCGCUGAGCGCAGGCGGAUGCUGGGAUGCUCGUGACGGACAGACUGCGCAUCCUGAGUAGGCCCUGCGAUACCCGAGGCUCCGGACUCGGCCUGCCAUCCGGUCCAAGAAAUCUGAGCCCUUAUCAAGCCUCUGCUCGGCUAAUCUGACUGUUGUCAUCAGUGGAGGCCCUGUGGUGCCUACCGAGGCACAAGACUCGGGGAAAGAACCCCAAAGGGAGGCCUGAGUCCUGCUAAUGCCCUCCAUAUUAUCCCUGAUUGCGUGGUGAGCAGGACAGGCGGGCAGAUCGCACAGGAAAUCUCAGCUGCAGGAAGGAAAAAAAAAAAAGAAUUUUGGAGAAAAAGGCGACUUCAAUCAACUUUUACCCCAUAAGUAUCUGAAAAUGAAAACAGGGAAGACAAUUUUAGACAAACAUGAAUAAAGUGGGCCUAAAUACAUAAAUAAAGUAGGCACUUGCAGUGUGCGGGUGUUAACAGCCUCA